UACGUAGGGCGCAAGCGUUGUCCGGAAUUAUUGGGCGUAAAGAGCUCGUAGGUGGUGUGUCGCGUCUGCCGUGAAAGCCCGGGGCUUAACUCCGGGUCUGCGGUGGAUACGGGCAGACUAGAGGCAGGUAGGGGAGAACGGAAUUCCCGGUGUAGCGGUGAAAUGCGCAGAUAUCGGGAGGAACACCGGUGGCGAAGGCGGGUCUCUGGGCCGAUACUGACGCUGAGGAGCGAAGGUCAGGGGAGCAAACGGG
rnacentral:rRNA from 1 species